CUCUGCCUACAAUAUUUGCUUUAAAUUACGGGAGGUGGAAUUCGAUGAUCAGGUUUGUUUGGGGCAGAGGUAAUUUAAUUUAGAGGCUAGCAAGGUUUAGGCUAAAACUAGGAUUAGAUACCCUAUUAUGCUAUACGUAAACAAUAUCCGAGCUUGAGGAGUAUUAGUUAAGUUCUUGAAAUUUAGAGGAUUUGGCGGCAAUCCACCCUAGUCAGAGGAACCUGUGCCUUGAUACGAUAUGCCACGAAUUAUCUUACUUUAUCUUGUUUUCAGCCUGUAUACCUCCAUUUAGUUAUUAUUCAUAAAUAUAUAGUUCAAUAAAGGAUAAAUUCUUUAGUAAAUUAGGUCAAGGUGCAGCCUAUGAUAAAGUGGUCAUGUGUUACAUUGUUAUUUAUACUUGAGUGCUUAAAAGGCAUUCUGUGUGGAUGGAUUUUUGAAAUUAUUUUCUGAAAUAGUAUUUGAUUGUAAAUUUAUUUUAAUAAGGUAAAUUGAUAGAGUUUUGGGUUGUGUACAAAUCGCCCGUCGCUCUCGAAC
rnacentral:rRNA from 1 species